CCCUUAGAUGUUCUGGGCCGCACGCGCGCUACACUGAACAGUUCAACAAGUCUUAACCUUGGCCGAUAGGUCUGGGUAAUCUUUGAACGCUGUUCGUGAUUGGGAUAGACCUUUGCAAUUAUGGGUCUUCAACGAGGAAUUCCUAGUAAACGCAAGUCAUCAGCUUGCAUUGAUUACGUCCCUGCCCUUUGUACACACCGCCCGUCGCACCUACCGAUUGAAUGGUCCGGUGAAAUCCUCGGAUCGAGCCGUGGGGCAACUCCGGUUCGAGAAGUUGAUUAAACCUUACCAUUUAGAGGAAGGUGAAGUCGUAACA
rnacentral:rRNA from 1 species